CUCCUGUCCUUUCCCUAGGAUACUCCAAAUUCGGGAGUCUAAGAGGUUUAUAAAACGUUCUUGAUGGAAAAAAAUGUGAAUGAAAGAUCCCACUG